rnacentral:lncRNA from 1 species
AAAAGACAAAUACUUCAUAAUUCUACUCAUAUGAGAUACGUAGAGUAGUCAAAAUACAGAGAUAGAUAGUGGAAUGGUAAUUGUCAAGAGCUGGAAAGAGAGGGAAACAGGGAGAUGUUAUUUAAUGGAUAUAGAGUUCAGUUUUAAAAGGUGAAGGUAUGGAGAGGAGUGGUGGUGAUGGUGAACCACCUUAUAAAUGUACUUAAUAGCACUGAACUGUAUACUGAAAAAUGGUUAAGAUGGUGAAUUUUAUGUUACAUAUACUUAAACACACACACACAGCACAAAUCAUGUUAAACCAGAGUACACAAUCAGUAACUGGCAGUGCUAAGAUCUGGAUCCAGGUAGACUUGUCUGAUUCCCUGCACUUUCUCAUCUCUUUGUCUUUACUUGAGCUGUCUCUGCCUAGAUGUCAUUCUCUGCCUGAACAGGUCUGGCCAGCUCCUCCUUUCCCUUAGGACUCUGGUAAAGCAUUCCCUCCGUAACUCCCUUCCUUACACUGGUUACAUGUCUUCUUACUUCUAUAAUUGUGCUCACAUUAUUUUGGGAUGUAAUCACAAAAUAAUUUUAUUCAUAUUUCCUUCGAUGUGUCUUCCUGUUCGAGUUCUUCCCUGCCCAGAAAUGAAACCACAGGCAAUUCUGUUUUCUGAUUAUUUCAGGUAAUGAAUAGUUAUCUAGGCCAAGGAACUGUAUAGACACCUCUCAGAAGAUGACAUACAAUCAAUCAACAAAUAUAUGAAAAAAUGCUCAACAUCUCUAGUAAUUAGAGAAAUGCAAAUCAAAACUACUCUAAGAUUUCAUCUUACUUCAGUCAGAAUGGCAGUUAUCAAGAAUACAAGCAACAAUAAGUGUUAGUGAGGAUGUGGGGAAAAAGGCACACUCAUACAUUGCUGGUAGGACUGCAAAGUGGUGCAGCCAAUGUGGAAAGCAGUAUGGAGAUUUCUUAGAAAACAUGGAAUGGAACCACCUUUGACCCAGCUAUCUCACUCCUUGGUUUAUACCCAAAGGACUUAAAAACAGCAUUCUACAGGGACAUAGCCACAUCAAUGUUUAUAGCAGCACAAUUCACAAUAGCUAAAUUGUGGAACCAACCUAGAUGCCCUUCAAUAGAUGAAUGGAUAAAGAAACUGUUGUAUACAUACACAAUGAAAUACUAUUCAGCAUUAAAAGAGAAUAAAAUUAUGGCAUUUGCAGGUAAAUGGUUGCAGUUAGAGAAUAUCAUGCUAAUGAAGUAAACCAGCCCCCCAAAAUCAAAGGCUGAAUGUUUCCUCUGAUAAGUGGAUGCUGACUCAUAAUGGGGGUGGGC